rnacentral:rRNA from 1 species
UACGAAGGGUGCAAACGUUGCUCGGAAUUAUUGGGCGUAAAGCGCACGUAGGCGGCUUUGCAAGUCGGAUGUGAAAUCCCUCGGCUCAACCAAGGAAGUGCAUCCGAAACUGCAGAGCUUGAGUACGAAAGAGGAUCGCGGAAUUCCCGGUGUAGAGGUGAAAUGCGUAGAGAUGUGGAGGAAUACCGAUGGCGAAGGCAGCCCCCUGGGAUAACACUGACGCUCAUGCACGAAAGCGUGGGGAGCAAACAGG